AGUUCCAGCUCAAACCCCAGCUGCUAGGAGCCAGGCUGGCCUGGUGAAGCAUGGAGCACGAAGACGAACCCAGGUGACAAGGACAAGAUGUUGCUCUUCUCUCCACUCUUUGAUCCCUGUCUUCUAAGGCAUGUAGGAAGGAGACAGUGCCCUUGGUACUGAUUUACUUAGACUCAACCUAAGGGUCCAGUCACUGACUAAGGCCAAGGGCAUUUUCCAUACCUGAAAGUGGGCACUAAGCAAGGAGCUGGGUAAUAGGAUAUCAGAAUUGCAAGGAAAAACUACAGGGCACCUAGCAAAUUUGAAUUUACAUGAAAUUCCUGAAAUGUACUUAUAUGAAGAAAUGGGCACCCUGCCUUUUGUCUGAUCAUAAAUAAAAAUGAGCAGCAGAAGAGGGCUCUACAGUAAGUGUCAAAGCAACAAGGCCCCUCUGGACAUGUCUAGGCCGAGAUGAGGCUACCAAGUGUCUUCAAAGCUAGAGGGAGGCAGUCUGCCCUAUUGAAAGGCAGGCUUGGCUGGCUAGGGCCUCCAAGGCCCUGAUCCCUGAUCCCUGCACAGCUUGUGCAAGCCUGGCCUAAGUCAGUGACUAGGUUCUAGGGCAGUGGUUCUCAGCCUUCCUAAUGGUGAACCCUUUAAUAGUUUCUCCUGUUGUAGUACUCCUCAACCAUAAUAUUAUUUUCAUUGUGACUUCAUAACUGAAAUUUUGCUACUGUUAUGAAUCAUAAUAUAAAUAUUUUUGGAGCUAGAGGGUUCUGUGCCACAGGUUGAAAACCAUUGCUCUAGGGUAUGCUCCAGGGGUGGUUUCUGGGGCUUCUGCAAUGUGGGAUCUAUGGGGCAGGGUUGGAUAUUCUCCAAGAGCCCCGGACAGGAUAUCCAUAGAAUGUAAUAGCAUCCUAUGGAAGGAUUGCCUCCUGAUACUAAAGGGAGCUUGAAGGAAGCCAAGGUUGGGAGAAGUUGCAGAGUGGGAAGGUAGGCGAAGGGACUGAGGUGACACAGUGAUAGUCAGUUCAGGGUGGGGUUCUACCCAAGAUAGCAGAUAAAGGUCCUUAGGAUGGUGGAUUACUCUGGCUGCUCAGAGGGGAACACAGCACCAAUAAAAUCUCUUUCUCG
rnacentral:lncRNA from 1 species